UAAGCGGAGGAAAAGAAACUAACAAGGAUUCCCCUAGUAACUGCGAGUGAAGCGGGAAAAGCUCAAAUUUAAAAUCUGGCGNUCUUUGGNCGUCCGAGUUGUAAUUUAGAGAAGCGUCUUCCGCGCUGGNCCGUGCACAAGUCUCCUGGAAUGGAGCGUCAUAGAGGGUGAGUAUCCCGUCUUUGGCACGGAUGCCUGGUGCUUCUGUGAUGCGCUCUCGAAGAGUCGAGUUGUUUGGGAAUGCAGCUCAAAAUGGGUGGUGAACUCCAUCUAAAGCUAAAUAUUGGCGAGAGACCGAUAGCGAACAAGUACCGUGAGGGAAAGAUGAAAAGCACUUUGGAAAGAGAGUGAAACAGUACGUGAAAUUGUUGAAAGGGAAACGCUUGAAGUCAGUCGCGUCGACCGAGACUCAGCCUUGCCUUGGCUUGGUGUACUUCUCGGCCCGACGGGUCAGCAUCAAUUUUGCCCCUCGGAUAAUGGCAAGGGAAAGGUGGCACCUUUACGGGUGUGUUAUAGUCUCCUGUCGAAUGCGAGGGGUGGGAUUGAGGAACUCAGCGCGCACCUCAGUGUCGGGGCUUCGGCCCACGUCACGCGCUUAGGAUGCUGGCGUAAUGGCUAUAAACGACC
rnacentral:rRNA from 1 species